rnacentral:rRNA from 1 species
CCAUACGACCGUACCGCAAACCGACACUGGUGCGCGAGAUGAGUAUUCUAAGGCGCCUGAGAGAACUCAGGAGAAGGAACUCGGCAAAUUGACACCGUAACUUCGGAAGAAGGUGUGCCCUAUUAGUGUGUAGUGAACAACGAAGCAUGAAUGGGUUGCAAAAAAUCGGUGGCUGCGACUGUUUAUUAAAAACACAGCACUCUGCAAACACGAAAGUGGACGUAUAGGGUGUGACGCCUGCCCGGUGCUGGAAGAUUAAAUGAUGGGGUGCAAGCUCUUGAUUGAAGUCCCAGUAAACGGCGGCCGUAACGAUAACGGUCCUAAGGUAGCGAAAUUCCUUGUCGGGUAAGUUCCGACCUGCACGAACGGCGUAACGAUGGCCACACUGUCUCCUCCUGAGACUCAGCGAAGUUGAAAUGUUUGUGAUGAUGCAAUCUCCCCGCGGAAAGACGGAAAGACCCCAUGAACCUUUACUGUAGCUUUGUAUUGGACUUUGAACAGAUCUGUGUAGGAUAGGUGGGAGGCUUUGAAGCAGGGUCGCUAGAUCUUGUGGAGCCAACGUUGAAAUACCACCCUGGUGUGUUUGAGGUUCUAACCUAGGUCCAUUAUCUGGAUCGGGGACAGUGCAUGGUAGGCAGUUUGACUGGGGCGGUCUCCUCCCAAAGCGUAACGGAGGAGUUCGAAGGUACGCUAGUUACGGUCGGACAUCGUGACGAUAGUGCAAUGGCAUAAGCGUGCUUAACUGCGAGACUGACAAGUCGAGCAGAUGCGAAAGCAGGACAUAGUGAUCCGGUGGUUCUGUAUGGAAGGGCCAUCGCUCAACGGAUAAAAGGUACUCUGGGGAUAACAGGCUGAUACCGCCCAAGAGUUCAUAUCGACGGCGGUGUUUGGCACCUCGAUGUCGGCUCAUCUCAUCCUGGGGCUGUAGCCGGUCCCAAGGGUAUGGCUGUUCGCCAUUUAAAGAGGUACGUGAGCUGGGUUUAAAACGUCGUGAGACAGUUUGGUCCCUAUCUUCCGUGGGCGCUGCAGAUUUGAGGAAGCCUGCUCCUAGUACGAGAGGACCGGAGUGGACACACCUCUGGUGUAUCGGUUGUCACGCCAGUGGCAUUGCCGAGUAGCUAAGUGUGGAAGAGAUAACCGCUGAAAGCAUCUAAGCGGGAAACUCGUUUCAAGAUGAGAUCUGCCGGGGCCUUGAGCCCCCUAAAGAGUCGUUCAAGACCAGGACGUUGAUAGGUCAGGUGUGGAAGC